rnacentral:rRNA from 1 species
UACGGGGAGGCAGCAGUGGGGGAAUAUUGCACAAUGGGCGCAAGCCUGAUGCAGCCAUGCCGCGUGUGUGAAGAAGGACCUUCGGGUUGUAAAGCACUUUCAGUCGUGAGGAAGGUAGUGUAGUUAAUAGCUGCAUUAUUUGACGUUAGCGACAGAAGAAGCACCGGCUAACUCCGUGCCAGCAGCCGCGGUAAUACGGAGGGUGCGAGCGUUAAUCGGAAUUACUGGGCGUAAAGCGCAUGCAGGUGGUUUGUUAAGUCAGAUGUGAAAGCCCGGGGCUCAACCUCGGAAUUGCAUUUGAAACUGGCAGACUAGAGUACUGUAGAGGGGGGUAGGAAUUUCAGGUGUAGCGGUGAAAUGCGUAGAGAUCUGAAGGAAUACCGGUGGCGAAGGCGGCCCCCUGGACAGAUACUGACACUCAGAUGCGAAAGCGUGGGGAGCAAACAGGAUUAGAUACCCUGGUAG